rnacentral:tRNA from 1 species
CGGGAUGUAGCGCAGCCUGGUAGCGUACACGUCUGGGGGGCGUGUGGUCGUGGGUUCAAAUCCCGCCAUCCCGA